UUAAUUUUAGCUAAGAAUUCAAUUAUGAAAAUCACCUACUAUAAUUGUAUGAAUGUAAAAGUCCUGCAUCAUAAUCAGUAUGCUGGAUAUUUUAAAAAAGAUAACAAGAACUAACAAGAGAAGUGUGUAAGCAAAUACAGAACUAUCAGUUUUUCUUGUUUCUACUGGUCUAUUAAUAAAACUUGAAUUUACACAGCCAAUCCACACUCUUAACUCAUCCUUCUCUGUCAUGCCUGACUAGUAGCCAUCUACAUCUGAUAUAAGAUAUAUAGUACAAUACUAUUAUGUCUCCACGUGUGUCUAAACUGUUUAACAUAGCAGUACAUUUUAUUACACUAAUGUGUUGUUUUAAUGUACUUAUCAUAAUCUUUCCAUAACAGUAACCUUUAAAAUAGUUAUACAUUGAUGGAAAAUGUUAAAAUUAAAUAACUAAUUUCAAUUUUUUUUCUGUGAAAGAGAACAACUGCAAUAAAACACAAUGGAAGACGAUGCUUGAGGAUAUCCUGACAUAACUGGUGAUCACUGCAUAUGCACUCUGCCUGGAGACAGUGAUGGAUACUGACAAACUACUCUGCACAAGGAACACUUGCAGAAGUAUGAUGGUGUGCACAGGAUUUUCUCAAUUGUCACUCCUGUAAACAGCUGUGGUCUAGGAGGCAGUGCAGCCACAACCGCCCUCAGUAUACAAAUAUAACAGAUGAUAAGGAUGAAAACUGUUAUACCACAGAGAAACAUUUACAUAAUCACAUUAAUAAACAACCCAUGUAGCAAUCUUUACUGAAAACUAUUACCACUUCAACACGUGUUAAAUACAUAUUGACUAAUUUUCUCCAAGAGUCAGCUCACACCUUUUGGGAAAUAUUAAUAAGGAAACUGGUUUCUAACUAUAACUUUUCACUGUUUCAAACGGUAAAUGAAAAUGAGAUAUUUUUAUUUAAAAAGUUCAAAAUCAACUGAAGCAAUUUUCAAAGUUUUGAUUUAGUCAUAACCCAGAAAAAACACUCUAAAGGAUAAUCUAAUUACUGUGAUUACAUUUUAUAACUCAAAUUAAUAUUAUUGAACUUUAAUAUUUUACUCCUGUGAUAUUAAUAAAAGGAAGAGAACACUUAUAAUAAUGUUUUACCUUUUAUGACAGUCUAAAAACUGAAUUGUUUUACUAGCUUUUAAAUAAUUAUUUAUAUAAACAAUUACUGCAUUGUAAGUGUGUACUUUAAAAUAAAAAACAUUUUUAAGA